UGUUGGGACGCUAUGGAUGCCGCUCGAGUUGCGGUUGUCGUCAAGGCUCAGGAUCCAGAUGCUGCGAAGUAAGAGAUUGUGGGGGCUAUUUUCGAAAAAUGCAGGCAGGACAGGAAAGAAAAGUGAGGCGAGUCGUUUUCCUGUUCUUAUUUGAGGAUUACUCCGUGUGUCGGAACCAUCCAACACAACUUGAAUACUUUUGAACAGCGGAAUCUUCCCAACUUCUACUUGCUCUUUCUGCGCCACUCACCACUGGUCUUUAUUUGGCCGCAUUUAAUUCCUUGUCUAGUUGUCCGACUCUCCCCUUUUAUUUUUAUUCCAUGCAUCUCCGUCAAGAGAUGGUUAUAAAUAAAAUGAUCUGACUAUUAUCCAAAUAGACAAGAGAUAUAAUGGUGAAAAAACCCUUAUCUUCAAGGAGCAUGGACCAGCCUUUGUUUUCUUUGUUCAUUGUGAUGGACAAACGGAGGUCGUUUGUUGAGUUACCCCGAUGGUUAAGGGGGGGGGGAGGAAGCAGAAAAAAAAAAGUUGUAGGGAACAGAAAAAGCAAAGAGAAAAAAGUGGC
rnacentral:sRNA from 1 species